rnacentral:rRNA from 1 species
UACGGAGGGUGCAAGCGUUAUCCGGAUUUACUGGGUUUAAAGGGUGCGUAGGCGGUUCAAUAAGUCAGUGGUGAAAUACGGCAGCUCAACUGUCGAGGUGCCAUUGAUACUGUUGGACUUGAGUACAGACGAGGUAGGCGGAAUUGACGGUGUAGCGGUGAAAUGCUUAGAUAUCGUCAAGAACACCGAUAGCGAAGGCAGCUUACUAGGCUGUAACUGACGCUGAGGCACGAAAGUGUGGGGAUCAAACAGG